rnacentral:rRNA from 1 species
GUACACUCCUGCGGGAGGCAGCAGUGGGGAAUUUUGGACAAUGGGCGAAAGCCUGAUCCAGCAAUGCCGCGUGAGUGAAGAAGGCCUUCGGGUUGUAAAGCUCUUUUGUCAGGGAAGAAACGGUGAGAGCUAAUAUCUUUUGCUAAUGACGGUACCUGAAGAAUAAGCACCGGCUAACUACGUGCCAGCAGCCGCGGUAAUACGUAGGGUGCAAGCGUUAAUCGGAAUUACUGGGCGUAAAGCGUGCGCAGGCGGUUUUGUAAGUCUGAUGUGAAAUCCCCGGGCUCAACCUGGGAAUUGCAUUGGAGACUGCAAGGCUAGAAUCUGGCAGAGGGGGGUAGAAUUCCACGUGUAGCAGUGAAAUGCGUAGAUAUGUGGAGGAACACCGAUGGCGAAGGCAGCCCCCUGGGUCAAGAUUGACGCUCAUGCACGAAAGCGUGGGGAGCAAACAGGAUUAGAAACCCGAGUAGUCCCAUGA